UACGGAGGGUGCAAACGUUGCUCGGAAUCAUUGGGCGUAAAGCGCACGUAGGCGGCCUGUUAAGUCGGGUGUGAAAUCCCUGGGCUCAACCCAGGAAGUGCACUCGAAACUGGCGGGCUUGAGUACUGAAGAGGGUCGCGGAAUUCCCGGUGUAGAGGUGAAAUUCGUAGAUAUCGGGAGGAACACCAGUGGCGAAGGCGACUACCUGGCCUGUUCUUGACGCUGAGGCGCGAAAGCUAGGGGAGCAAACGGG
rnacentral:rRNA from 1 species